CUUCUUAAUUCAUUCAUUUCUCUUCUUCACUUGAAAUCUGAGAAGGGGCGGUGCUGCUGCUGUUGGUGGUGGAAUUAUUUCUUCCUUCAAAGUUCUCGCCGAUUUUUCUUCUUCUUCAACUUGUUAGCGAAGCAUGGGUCGCAAAGCUGGUGGGUUGUACAUAAAUCCAAGGAAGUUUGGGACUCUUUCUAAACCAUGCAUGAAAGAGAUGACGGCGCUUCUAAAUUGCUUGGCUAUUAGUGGAAACAAUGAUGAUAAGUGUGUUAAGCAUAAGGAUCUCUUGCGUACUUGCACGGAUACCCAGGCUGGUGCAAACAGAAAGCCAUGGGGAAGCAUCAAUUACCACUUGCAUAGGCUUAGCAGAGCAAAGAAAUAGUUGCAUUAUUCCACUUAAAUGGGGUUUGAGAUUUUCUAUGUAGCCGUAUGAAGAUUUUAUUCUUCAACAAGAUUUUGGAUAUAUUUUUUUUUGGUGCAUUAACUCGAUUAGUUUUACUUUCAUUUGAUAUGUAUUUUGAUGAAAGCAAUAUAUGAAUUCAAUCUCCAAUAGACAUGUUUGGUGAUUUUCCUUCAAAAAAGAAUAAUAUGGCGCGGAUGCUAAGUUGGGUCUGUGAUUUACUGUUCCA